GGGUAUAGCUCAGUGGCAGAAUACGUGCUUAGUUAGCAUGCACGAGGCCCUGGGUUCAAUCCCCAGUACUUCCU
rnacentral:tRNA from 1 species